CCAGAAAAUACAGUUAGCCAUGGCUGGUAUUGUAACUGCCACUCAAUCUUUCAUCACCGCCCCGCCUCGACUACUCUGCCGCCGGCAGCCGCAGAUAAUCAAGCAUAACCUUUUCUCUUUUCUUUCCUUCUCGAAAAUGGGGUUUGAUUCCUUGCAGAAAAGCUUUAAUUUUCCAGUAAGAAAACUAGUGAUUAGAGCAGCUAGAGCCGAGUCCAAAGGCGUCUCUCUUGGUUUCAGAGCACCCCAUUUUGAGCUUCCGGAGCCGCUUACGGGUAAAAUGUGGAAACUGGAGGACUUUGAACCGUUUCCUGCAUUAUUGGUUAUGUUCAUUUGCAAUCACUGCCCCUUUGUUAAACACUUGAAAAAGGAUAUUGUAAAGCUCUCGAAUUUCUACGUGAAGAAAGGGCUUGCAGUAGUAGCGAUAUCAUCAAAUUCUACAGUUACUCAUCCGCAGGAUGGACCUGAAUUUAUGGGAGAAGAAGCAAAGCUAUUUAAAUAUCCUUUCCCAUAUCUGUAUGAUGAGACUCAAGAUGUUGCAAAAGAUUUUGGAGCUGUGUGCACACCUGAGUUUUUCCUUUUCCGAAAGGACGGGCGUAGGCCUUUUGAGCUAGUGUACCAUGGCCAGUUUGAUGAUUCACGGCCAAGUAAUGAUGUGCGGGUCACAGGAAGGGACUUAAGCCUUGCAAUAGACUGUGUUCUUAGUGGUCAGCCUGUGUCUUCAGAUCAGAAACCAAGGAUACUAAAUUCCUCUUUACUUUAGCAUUGGGUGCAGUAUAAAGUGGCAUCCCAAGGCACAGCUGUGAUUAUUCCUGCUGGAGUCAGCUUUUAUAAGCUGAGAGUCACAUGCAAGCGAUGCUAUAAGGGAUCUGUUCACACCAUUAGGACCCUUUUGUCUCCAUCACUGUGUAAUUUUUUUUUUUUUUGGGUGCAGAGAGACUUUUUAAGUAGUUGAUGGUGUUGAUGGAGGACUUCAUACUUUAGCAUAAAUUUGUAAAAUUGAUUUCUGAUGUACCCUUUUAAAAGUACCUUAGUUUGUGGUUUUGACAGUCAAAUCAUCCGAUGCAGUGAAGAGUGAGUGUGAGAAAACCACAUUUGUAUGACUCUGCUAUGUUGUACGUGGGCUCUUUAUACUCCUUGCAGGGAAGUGCUUAUCAACCUAAACAUCAGAUGUUAUGCAUCCUUAGCCAUUGAAGCUUGAUAGCUUACUGUGACCUACCAGUGGGACUGAGAAGUUUUGCCAUCACAUGCCGAAAAGCAACGUAUCUUUCAGAAGAUGAAACUGUAUCUCCCUUUAUCUUUAGUGAAAGCAAUGUUGGAAGAAUUGGUAAGGUGUGAUGGUCUAUUUGGUUCCUACUAAUUAUAAGCUCCAUUUGCUUCCUGCCAACCAAGAUUUCGUCCCUUUCGUGUCUAUCCCAGCUCUUCCCCAAAACAACCCAUGGGAUUGAUAGCUACUUCUCCAUUUCUGGGACCCAUUGUAAAGUAUGCAUGUUUAACUUAAUGCAGGCUUGAAAGAUGUUUGUAGCUGCUGAUAGCGACUUCCUUUAUUCUGAAUCAUUGUAUGGAUAUUAUUUCAUUAUCUUAACCUUCUGGUUUUGAAUAA